rnacentral:misc_RNA from 1 species
AAGUCGUAACAAGGUAUCCGUAGGUGAACCUGCGGAUGGAUCAUUUUUGAAGUGUGUUGUGUGAUAUUGAUGGGAAUGGUAUUGGAGGAGUGAUGGUGGUAUGAUAUUGAUGUUGUUGAUUUAGAAAGGAUGAAACAACUUUUAGCAAUGGAUCUCUUGGCUCUC